rnacentral:rRNA from 1 species
AGGAAUAUUGGUCAAUGGGCGCAAGCCUGAACCAGCCAAGUAGCGUGAGGGAAGACUGCCCUAUGGGUUGUAAACCUCUUUUGUGCGGGGAUAAAGUGUGGGACGUGUCCCAUAUUGCAGGUACCGCACGAAUAAGGACCGGCUAAUUCCGUGCCAGCAGCCGCGGUAAUACGGAAGGUCCGGGCGUUAUCCGGAUUUAUUGGGUUUAAAGGGAGCGCAGGCCGUCCUUUAAGCGUGCUGUGAAAUGCCGCGGCUCAACCGUGGCACUGCAGCGCGAACUGGAGGACUUGAGUACGCACGAGGUAGGCGGAAUUCGUGGUGUAGCGGUGAAAUGCUUAGAUAUCACGAAGAACUCCGAUUGCGAAGGCAGCUUACCGGAGCGCAACUGACGCUGAGGCUCGAAAGCGCGGGUAUCGAACAGGAUUAGAUACCCUGGUAGUCCGCGCGGUAAACGAUGGAUGCCCGCCGUUGGGUUUUAGAAUUCAGCGGCCAAGCGAAAGCGUUAAGCAUCCCACCUGGGGAGUACGCCGGCAACGGUGAAACUCAAAGGAAUUGACGGGGGCCCGCACAAGCGGAGGAACAUGUGGUUUAAUUCGAUGAUACGCGAGGAACCUUACCCGGGCUUGAAUUGCAGGAGAACGAUCCAGAGAUGGUGAGGCCCUUCGGGGCUCCUGUGAAGGUGCUGCAUGGUUGUCGUCAGCUCGUGCCGUGAGGUGUCGGCUCAAGUGCCAUAACGAGCGCAACCCCUGUCCAUAGUUGCCAUCAGGUCGUGCCGGGCACUCUGUGGAGACUGCCGCCGUAAGGUGUGAGGAAGGUGGGGAUGACGUCAAAUCAGCACGGCCCUUACGUCCGGGGCUACACACGUGUUACAAUGGGGCAUACAGCGAGUUGGAUGUGCGCAAGUACGUCCGGAUCAAUAAAGUGCCUCUCAGUUCGGACUGGGGUCUGCAACCCGACCCCACGAAGCUGGAUUCGCUAGUAAUCGCGCAUCAGCCAUGGCGCGGUGAAUACGUUCCCG